rnacentral:rRNA from 1 species
GACGAACGCUGGCGGCGUGCUUAACACAUGCAAGUCGAACGGAAAGGCCCUGCUUUUGUGGGGUGCUCGAGUGGCGAACGGGUGAGUAACACGUGAGUAACCUGCCCUUGACUUUGGGAUAACUUCAGGAAACUGGGGCUAAUACAGGAUAGGAGCUCCUGCUGCAUGGUGGGGGAUGGAAAGUUUCGGCGGUUGUGGAUGGACUCGCGGCUUAUCAGCUUGUUGGUGGGGUAGUGGCUUACCAAGGCUUUGAAGGGUAGCCGGCCUGAGAGGGUGAACGGCCACAUUGGGACUGAGAUACGGACCAGUCGGCUACGGUAGGCAGCAGUGGAAAAUCUUGCACAAUGGGCGGGAGCCUGAUGCAGCAACGCCGCGUUCGGGAUAACGGCCUUCGGGUUGUAAACCGCUUUCGCCUGUGACGAAGCGUGAGUGACGGUAAUGGGUAAGAAAGCACCGGCUAACUACGUG